AUGGGAUAUGAGAUGGGAGAGACCUCAUGGACUGGGGUGGAAAUGGAAAGAGAGCCCUGAGCACUUUGGGAGGCACUGGGAGGGACCCCUGGGCACCAAGGUGGCAACGGGAGCGAAGUCUGGAGAUGGGAAGGGCGAUGGGAGAGAGCCCUGGGAAUGGGGGAAGGAACGGGAGAGAGGCCUGGGGGAAAAGGGGGGGAUGGGUGGGGGUGGGG
rnacentral:lncRNA from 1 species